UCAGGGGUCAGAGCCACUGAUAACAACUUAGCAAUCGCAUUUCAACACUCAGAGUUUCUCUUUGUGCUGGUCACGGGUUUCCUCACCCACGGUGGGCGUGUACAGGUACUUGCUGAUCCAUCCAGGCGGUUCUGCAGAGGGGAAGCUGUGAAUGAACUGGUUUUCUUCGGCGUCUGCUUUUUCCGUCAUCAGUUUCGCUGCUUUAAAGUACGUCUUUGCCAGCAGCUGUCCGUGGCACGAUGCCCUCCAAUAGGAGCGCGGGAUUUCCACCAGGCCGUAUCCCAGCAGCAACACCAGC